rnacentral:lncRNA from 1 species
CAACAAUUUCACAAGUCUUUGUAGCAAGUAGUUGUAUAUAAUUAGACCACGUGUGAGUUGAUAUAGAGGGGUGAUUUUGAGGUCAGAGAUUCGAGCCUUUGGCGCAUUCACAAAUAUAGUACCAUACUUUAUAGAAAAACACAAAGGAGCUUGUAGAUAAAAUUCAUCUUCUUAAAACUCAGUACAUGUCAAAAUAUGUAGAAAAACACAUCACGGUAAAAAUGCAUGUUUUUCAUGAUCAGUUUGAAUGCGUAUGUAUUUUCUCUUAUACAUUUCUUUUGUAUAUUAAAAAAAAUGUAAAAAUUAGCCGACAAGCUAGAACUCCACAAUGACAUAAUAUACUUAGCCUCUAAGUUAUGUUGAGAAAGGAAAAUAAAUUACGCAUAUGUUGGCACCUUAUAAACAGAAAACUAGCAUAUUUUUAAAUACAAAUUAACAAAUAAAAAAAAUUCUCAUUCUAAACAUAUUCGCAUCAAAUGAUUUAUUUGGACAUGCAAAUAGAUCCUCAAUUUUAUUUGUAAAAUAAUUAUAAUUCAUGAAUCACUGACUGUAGUUACCUAAACUUGUCGACCUCCUAAGCUAUUUCUAGCCUCUCCCCCUCUCUCUUUCUGCCUCUCUCUCCUCUCCGUCCCUUCCUUUCGCAAACUUUUUUUUUUUAAUUUUAAUGCUUCAACUGUUUUAUUCUCGCAGCUAAAUUUAUUUUUUUAAUAAAUGAAAUGAAUAAUUUGCUAUUUUUCUGCAAAAGAAUAAUUUUUUUGG